AGAAACUAACAAGGAUUCCCUAGUAACUGCGAGUGAAGCGGGAAAAGCUCAAAUUUAAAAUCUGGCGGUCUCUGGCCGUCCGAGUUGUAAUCUAGAGAAGUAAUGCCCGUGCUGGACCGUGUAUAAGUCUCCUGGGAUGGGGCGUCAUAGAGGGUGAGAAUCCCGUCUUUGACACGGACUACCAGUGCAUUGUGGUAUGCUCUCAAAGAGUCGAGUUGUUUGGGAAUGCAGCUCAAAAUGGGUGGUAAAUUCCAUCUAAAGCUAAAUAUUGGCGAGAGACCGAUAGCGAACAAGUACCGUGAGGGAAAGAUGAAAAGAACUUUGGAAAGAGAGUUAAACAGUACGUGAAAUUGCUGAAAGGGAAACGCUUGAAGUCAGUCGCGUUGGCCGGGGAUCAGCCUUGCUUUUGCAUGGUGUACUUUCUGGUUGACGGGUCAGCAUCAAUUUUGACCGCUGGAAAAAGACCUGGGGAAUGUGGCAGCUUCGGCUGUGUUAUAGCCCCUAGUCGCAUACAGUGGUUGGGAUUGAGGAACUCAGCACGCCGCAAGGCCGGGUUUCGACCACGUUCGUGCUUAGGAUGCUGGCAUAAUGGCUUUAAGCGACCCGUCUUGAAACACGGACCAAGGAGUCUAACAUGCCUGCGAGUAUUUGGGUGGAAAACCCAAGUGCGUAAUGAAAGUGAAAGUUGAGAUCCCUGUCGUGGGGAGCAUCGACGCCCGGACCAGAACUUUUGGGACGGAUCCGCGGUGGAGCAUGUAUGUUGGGACCCGAAAGAUGGUGAACUAUGCCUGAAUAGGGUGAAGCCAGAGGAAACUCUGGUGGAGGCUCGUAGCGAUUCUGACGUGCAAAUCGAUCGUCAAAUUUGGGUAUAGGGGCGAAAGACUAAUCGAACCAUCUAGUAGCUGGUUCCUGCCG
rnacentral:rRNA from 1 species